rnacentral:rRNA from 1 species
UACGUAGGGUGCAAGCGUUGUCCGGAAUUAUUGGGCGUAAAGAGCUCGUAGGCGGUUUGUCGCGUCUGCUGUGAAAACUGGGGGCUCAACCCCCAGCCUGCAGUGGGUACGGGCAAACUAGAGUGCGGUAGGGGAGAUUGGAAUUCCUGGUGUAGCGGUGGAAUGCGCAGAUAUCAGGAGGAACACCGGUGGCGAAGGCGGGUCUCUGGGCAGUAACUGACGCUGAGGAGCGAAAGCGUGGGGAGCGAACAGG